rnacentral:rRNA from 1 species
GUCUCCGUUGGUGAACCAGCGGAGGGAUCAUUGCUGGAACGCGCCCCAGGCGCACCCAGAAACCCUUUGUGAACUUAUACCUUUUGUUGCCUCGGCGCAUGCUGGCCUCUAGUAGGCCCCUCACCCCGGUGAGGAGAAGGCACGCCGGCGGCCAAGUUAACUCUUGUUUUUACACUGAAACUCUGAGAAAAAACACAAAUGAAUCAAAACUUUCAACAACGGAUCUCUUGGUUCUGGCAUCGAUGAAGAACGCAGCGAAAUGCGAUAAGUAAUGUGAAUUGCAGAAUUCAGUGAAUCAUCGAAUCUUUGAACGCACAUUGCGCCCUCUGGUAUUCCGGAGGGCAUGCCUGUUCGAGCGUCAUUUCAACCCUCAAGCAUUGCUUGGUGUUGGGGCACUGCCUGUAAAAGGGCAGGCCCUGAAAUCUAGUGGCGAGCUCGCCAGGACCCCGAGCGCAGUAGUUAAACCCUCGCUUUGGAAGGCCCUGGCGGUGCCCUGCCGUUAAACCCCCAACUUUUGAAAAUUUGAC